CCGCCCCUAAGGUCGGAGUUGCUGGCCUCCUAUGUUCCUAACGGUCCUCAUCCGCGAGGGUGGGGAAUCAACCGCUAGGAUCGUUUACUUUGAGGAAAUUAGAGUGUUCAAAGCAGGCGUAACUCGCCUCCGAAUACGUUAGCAUGGGAUAAUGGAAUACGACUUCGGUCUUGUUUCGUUGGUUUCGCUUGGCUGAAGUAAUGAUUGAUAGGGACAGUUGGGGGCAUUAGUAUUUAGUUGUCAGAGGUGAAAUUCUAGGAUUUACUAAAGACUGACCAAUGCGAAAGCAUUUGCCAAGGAUGUUUUCAUUAAUCAAGAACGAAAGUAGGGGGAUCGAAGACGAUCAGAUACCGUC
rnacentral:rRNA from 1 species